AUCAGAGCAAACUGCACUCCACAAAUCAAGGGCAGCCGCACCGUUAUAGCUAAGCAAAUUAAGGACACUUACGCCGCGUCUUCACACUGCGAGCAUGCUCCGACAGCCCACUGAUAGAUAUUUCAAACGCAACCACGCUCGGACGAGCAAAUUUUGCUUCUGCCAAGUGAACGUAGCGGGUAUUUCAACACGCGUGUUAAAUUCAUGGCUGUUUCAUUCGUGAACAUUACUUAAGUGACGUAAAAUUAUCAGUGAGCAAAACAGUUUUUAUUUCAACGCGACGAAACAAAACCGAAACUAGCGCAACUGUUUUGCUCAGUUGUGCAGAUACAAAAUGAUCCAAAGCCGAAGCCGUCAAUAGCAUGACGCCAUUUUGAAGUUGCGCUGCAUCACGCGCGAGUACGUUGUCGUUGAGUGGUUCUGAAAUCGCUGCGUUAGGGGCGACUGCAACCAAGCGUUGCGGCAAGUUACGGUGGGAUCUUCUGUCCGUGCUGUGUGAUUGCGACGAGGGGACCGCCGCCACCAGCAGCGUAUCGCCGAUUUCGUCUUUGCCGACAUCGAGCAAGUGCAGCUCGCCGGACCGUCACAAGCGCCCGAAGUGCUGCGGUUUGCACUGCAUCUUCAUUGUGAUAUGGGACAUCGCAACGGACAGAGACGACCAGAUGCAUACGAACCACUACCAGCGGGGACCUGUGACUUGUGCCAUAUUUCUCUUAACGUCUCAGGUAUUCAAGAAAUGGCAGCAGCCAGAAGUCGCCAUCUUAUCCAGCACGUUAUGGGUACACUCUGGCAGCUCCUACUCCUGCGUCCUACCACCACCCUGUCCUGACUACGUCCACUAGAGAGUUGGGAGCCUUUGGCGGCUUCUGCCACUGCAUCCUGCCGCCACCAUGUCGCAACUACGUCCACUAGGGAGUUGGCAGGCUUAGUGAUGAUGCCAGCAGGCUGACA